rnacentral:rRNA from 1 species
GACGAACGCUGGCGGCGUGCUUAACACAUGCAAGUCGAGCGGUAAGGCCCUUUCGGGGGUACGACGAGCGGCGAACGGGUGAGUAACACGUGGGUGACCUGCCCUCAGCUCUGGGAUAAGCCUGGGAAACCGGGUCUAAUACCGGAUAUGACUCCAUGACGCAUGUUGUGGGGUGGAAAGCCUUGUGCGGCUGAGGAUGGGCCCGCGGCCUAUCAGCUUGUUGGUGGGGUGAUGGCCUACCAAGGCGACGACGGGUAGCCGGCCUGAGAGGGCGACCGGCCACACUGGGACUGAGACACGGCCCAGACUCCUACGGGAGGCAGCAGUGGGGAAUCUUGCGCAAUGGGCGAGAGCCUGACGCAGCGACGCCGCGUGA